UACGGAGGGUGCAAGCGUUAUCCGGAUUCACUGGGUUUAAAGGGUGCGUAGGUGGGUCUGUAAGUCAGUGGUGAAAUCUUCGAGCUUAACUCGGAAACUGCCAUUGAUACUAUAGAUCUUGAAUUUUCUGGAGGUAAGCGGAAUAUGUCAUGUAGCGGUGAAAUGCUUAGAUAUGACAUAGAACACCAAUUGCGAAGGCAGCUCACUACAGAAGUCAUUGACGCUGAGGCACGAAAGCGUGGGGAUCAAACAGG
rnacentral:rRNA from 1 species